CACUAAGAAGCUAACACGGGCCUAGCGUUAGCCUUUUAAGCUAAAGAGUGGUGCCUCCCAAACACCCUUAGUGA
rnacentral:tRNA from 2 species